GUCUUCUACUAAUCUGAGUCCCUCUCUCAGGUAGUCCUCCGUUUUCAUAAUGACAAUCCCUCCACCUUUGUCCGCUGGUUUUAUAACCUUAUUUUUAUCUUUCUGUAGUGCUUUCAAGGCUAGCCAUUCCUCUUUACUUAGGUUCAUAUGUUUUUUAUUUUUAGGUUUUAUUUUAUUUAUAUCCUGCAUUACUGCAUUACCGGCGAAAGCACUCUGGAUCCUAUAGUGCCGAAAACCCGGAAGUGACGCAACGGCAUUUUAGCCGCGUCAGAUGACAGAAAAGGACCCAUUCGAUUGGAAGAAGACAUUUUAGGAGGGAUUUUGGACGCUUAAAACACAGAAUACCAAGAGGACACCCACAAGCUGACUGAGGAAGCCGUUGUUACCGGCGAAACGCGUUUUGGCAUUUAAAGUGGACUCAUCAUUUUUGUU